rnacentral:rRNA from 1 species
UUCGGGCGCCGGCGAGUGGCGAACGGGUGAGUAACACGUGGAGACCUAUCCUUUGGUGGGGGACAACAGCUGGAAACGGCUGCUAAUACCGCAUAAUCCCUACGGGGGAAAGAUUUAUCGCCAUAGGAGGGUUCCGCGUCGGAUUAGCUAGUUGGUGGGGUAACGGCCUACCAAGGCAACGAUCCGUAGCUGGUCUUAGAGGAUGAUCAGCCACACUGGGACUGAGACACGGCCCAGACUCCUACGGGAGGCAGCAGUGGGGAAUAUUGCGCAAUGGAGGAAACUCUGACGCAGCGAUGCCGCGUGGGUGAAGAAGGCCUUAGGGUUGUAAAGCCCUUUCAGUGGGAACGAUGGUGACGGUACCCACAGAAGAAGCCCCGGCUAACUCCGUGCCAGCAGCCGCGGUAAUACGGAGGGGGCGAGCGUUGUUCGGAAUUAUUGGGCGUAAAGCGCGCGUAGGCGGUUUAUUAAG